rnacentral:lncRNA from 1 species
AGAGAAACUACUUGCUCUUCUAUUAAGCUUGAAUAGCUUGAUUACAACUUGAUUUGCUUGAUGCUUACAAAUGAAAUUCUCUAGCCUAUUUAUAGGCCUCCACCUCCUCAAUAGACGGUGAGGAUUCAUUUCAUCUAAUGGCUAAGAUUAAGCCUCUAGAAUGAUCUACCACCUACCUCAAUAAUUAUCUACACAAUAUACAUGUUUCUAGAUGGUCUAGAAUCUUCCAUCUAGUAUGAAUGGACGUCCUUGCCCUUGUGAACCUUCAUGUGGCCAAUGGCUGGCAUAUCUCUACGGGCUGUGAUUCUAGGCCUGCGGGCUAUGGUGUUGGAGAAGCUUGUGGGCUGUGACACCAUGCGAGGCAGAUCCAAGAAUGUGUGCCUCGGCCGAAGGGGACGGCGCCUCAUGCGUCGGCAUGCUGCAAGGUUGACUAUUGCUUGGUUUCGGGCAUCUUAUGACAAUGCAUCGCCCACACCGUGCGUUGACAACCUAUUAGCACGCUCUUGCAUGGGGUUGGGCCCCAACAGCUUUGGUUGGAUCUUCCAUCCAUGUCUCGGCCUCGCCCUCUACGGCCAUCACAGCCGCAUAAAAUUCCGUCAAUUCAUAUUCGGG